UGCCAGCAGCCGCGGUAAUACGGAGGGGGCUAGCGUUGUUCGGAAUUACUGGGCGUAAAGCGCUCGUAGGCGGAUUGAUAAGUCAGAGGUGAAAUCCCAGGGCUCAACCUUGGAACUGCCUUUGAAACUGUCAGUCUAGAGUUCGGGAGAGGUGAGCGGAAUUCCGAGUGUAGAGGUGAAAUUCGUAGAUAUUCGGAGGAACACCAGAGGCGAAGGCGGCUCACUGGACCGAUACUGACGCUGAGGAGCGAAAGCGUGGGGAGCAAACAGGAUUAGAUA
rnacentral:rRNA from 1 species